rnacentral:rRNA from 1 species
UGGGGAAUAUUGCACAAUGGGCGGAAGCCUGAUGCAGCGACGCCGCGUGAGGGAUGACGGCCUUCGGGUUGUAAACCUCUUUCAGUAGGGACGAAGCGUAAGUGACGGUACCUGCAGAAGAAGCACCGGCUAACUACGUGCCAGCAGCCGCGGUAAUACGUAGGGUGCGAGCGUUGUCCGGAAUUACUGGGCGUAAAGAGCUCGUAGGCGGUUUGUCACGUCGUCUGUGAAAUCCUAGGGCUUAACCCUGGACGUGCAGGCGAUACGGGCUGACUUGAGUACUACAGGGGAGACUGGAAUUUCUGGUGUAGCGGUGGAAUGCACAGAUAUCAGGAAGAACACCGAUGGCGAAGGCAGGUCUCUGGGUAGUAACUGACGCUGAGGAGCGAAAGCAUGGGCAGCGAACAGG